CCUACGGGAGGCAGCAGUGGGGAAUAUUGGGCAAUGGGCGCAAGCCUGACCCAGCAACGCCGCGUGAAGGAAGAAGGCUUUCGGGUUGUAAACUUCUUUUCUCAGGGACGAAGCAAGUGACGGUACCUGAGGAAUAAGCCACGGCUAACUACGUGCCAGCAGCCGCGGUAAUACGUAGGUGGCAAGCGUUAUCCGGAUUUACUGGGUGUAAAGGGCGUGUAGGCGGGAAAGCAAGUCAGAUGUGAAAACCAUGGGCUCAACCUGUGGCCUGCAUUUGAAACUGUUUUUCUUGAGUACUGGAGAGGCAGACGGAAGUCCUAGUGUAGCGGUGAAAUGCGUAGAGAUUAGGAGGAACACCAGUGGCGAAGGCGGUCUGCUGGACAGCAACUGACGCUGAGGCGCGAAAGCGUGGGGAGCAAACAGGAUUAGAUACCCCUGUAGUC
rnacentral:rRNA from 1 species